rnacentral:rRNA from 1 species
UACAUGGGGUGCAAACGUUGCUCGGAAUUCUUGGGCGUAAAGCGCGCGUAGGCGGUUACUUAAGUCGGAUGUGAAAGCCCUCGGCUUAACUGAGGAAGUGCACCCGAAACUGAGUAGCUAGAGUACGAAAGAGGGUCGCGGAAUUCCCGGUGUAGAGGUGAAAUUCGUAGAUAUCGGGAGGAACACCGGUGGCGAAGGCGGCGACCUGGGUCGAGACUGACGCUGAGGCGCGAAAGCGUGGGGAGCAAACAGG